GCAGGUGGAUAGCUCAGUUGGUUAGAACAUGGUGCUGAUAACACCAAAGUUGCAGGUUUGAUCCCCAUACAGGACAGCUGCA